rnacentral:sRNA from 1 species
UCUUGCAGGUGUUAGGGUGGGCUUUGUCACAAUGUACAGCAUGAUCUCCACGAUCGAUAGCAGGAUAAGU